rnacentral:lncRNA from 1 species
UUUAAAACUACUGAUAUGGAACGAUAAGUCUUCGUUACGCAAGUCCGCCGCCAUUUUUUUUCGAGCACUGAUUGAAAGCGUAUCAAUAGAUAAUCCGUACGGCGUAUUUUCCUUCCUGACAUUUUUCUUCAUAAAAAUGGAAAUUUCAGCUGAUCAUGUGGCCUGAGCAUCUGUACAUUUUGCCAAGAUGUUGUCUCUUUUUCCUGUACUGGCUGUACGUUUUGUAAGAAACACUUCAGAACAAAUCAGUGAUAAACAGUCUGGCAAAGUCUGAGCUUCGUCGUUGCUGCCCAAUGUACACAUGGAUUUGAUGCAGCCAGCUGGUAAAGGGUCCUUUGCUACCUGUACUGCUGUGUGUUUCGUCAAAUGAAGAAACAUGAACAGCUGAAGUUUAUCGUGUAUGUUCGCGUAGUUGCUGUCCGCUGUGGUACGUUGUUGCAGCCUAUGCUGGUUAUAGAUCUUUCUGCAUCAAAUUCAAUUGGCCGUUUGGUGCUGGUGUCGUGUUACCGAAGUUGCAUUAUUAUUUUAUGAAAUUGGCAUUGUGUCAAUGUAGUAUACCGUUAAUAUGUUAAGAAGGAACAAAAAAGAAAUAUGGGGAUGUUUAUGUCAAACAAAUAAUAAACAUGUUUUCGGGAUUGGGAAAGGAAAGAGGAGGAUGUGGAAGGGGGAUAUUUCAAGUUUGGUUAAAAAACAGUUAAUUUAUAACCCUACAAACAUAUCCCUACCAAUUAAUCUCCAAACCCCACAAACUUAUACCUUCCAAUUCUUCAGACCCCAUAAACAUUACACCUAUCAACCCUCAAAUGUAUACCCUAAACCACAUAAACCAAUGUCAAACCCUAUGUCUUUAAUAAAUAAAAAAAUUUAAUACAUCAAACUAGUUUUUA